CCUUGAGGCCAAAUGAGUGACUCCUUAAUUGUGGAAGUUCAAGUCUCAGUGAACGUCCUCAAGUGCAUUCCUUUGUUCUUGAGAAAUACGUGCUCGUGAUAGGGGAUACGGAAAACGGAGCAAAGAAGUUUUCUAUCAAGAAGAGUAUUUGUGUUUUGAUAGAUUUCUUUCCAGCCUAUUAAUCUGUACUUUUUAAAAACCUUAAUGACCUACUGAAUAUGCAGAUUUUGUUCCUAUCCAACAUAGAUCAUAGUUAUUUAGGAAGGACACUGGGGGAGAAGGGCUGGAACAAGAGGGAUCCUUCUGGUGUCCAGAAGUCGUGCUGUAGUCAGCAGCUCCGUGCCCUGGACACCUGCCAUCGUCCCUCCCCUUGUUCAAGGGAAAGCCCGGCAAUAAGCAAAGUGGGGAGAAAAGAACUUGGCCAUGGCUUACAAAAAAUGGUAUACCCAUAAUCCUGGAUGCUACAAAGCUGUGCAUUUUCAUCCUCUGGCCCCAUUACCACCCAUUCAAGGACAAAGCUUCCCUCCCCUCCCCACCAACCGGGGGCCAAUUCAUCUUUCCCUCGUUCAAAUGGCGGGGAGUGCAAAUGUCCGGCAACCACUCACUGUCUUGCCACAAGAUGGCUCCAGAAGCUUCGAGCUGCCCUGAUGCCUGACAUGCUGAGUCCUCCCCGCUCAGUCUCAUUCCAGACACUACAGGAUGUGCCAUACCACCCCCAAAAUGUCCACCCAGGCAGAAAAGAACAUUCCACUACAAAAAGAAGAAGGAGAAGAAGAGAGAGACAGAAAGAAAGAAAGAAAGAAAGAAAGAAAGAAAGAAAGAAAACGAAAAACUUGGAAAUCUGAUCUUAAAGAUACACAUUUUAGGCGCUCCAGGCGGAGACGUUUGCCAGAGAGAAUGACAAGCCGCUCUCCUGACUGUCCCCGGGGAAAACCUUUACAGACUUCUCUCCAGUGGGGCUCCUUCCUAGGAGGAAAAGAAGCUCGAACAAAGGCUUUGCUCCCUCACUCCUACGGGAGUCAUUCUUAGAAAUAAUAAAUGAAGUCAGAUUGAGAGACUUAAUAAAGUCCUCUAAUACAGUUA